CCUACGGGUGGCAGCAGUGAGGAAUAUUGGUCAAUGGGCGGAAGCCUGAACCAGCCAAGUCGCGUGAGGGAAUAAGGCCCUACGGGUCGUAAACCUCUUUUGCCGGGGAGCAAGGGCGGGGACGUGUCCCGGCCCGGAGAGUACCCGGAGAAAAAGCAUCGGCUAACUCCGUGCCAGCAGCCGCGGUAAUACGGAGGAUGCGAGCGUUAUCCGGAUUUAUUGGGUUUAAAGGGUGCGUAGGCUGUGAGGUAAGUCAGCGGUGAAAUGCCCCCGCUCAACGGGGUGAAGUGCCAUUGAUACUGCCUUGCUGGAAUGCGGAUGCCGUGGGAGGAAUGUGUGGUGUAGCGGUGAAAUGCAUAGAUAUCACACAGAACACCGAUUGCGAAGGCAUCUCACGAAUCCGCGAUUGACGCUGAUGCACGAAAGCGUGGGUAUCAAACAGGAUUAGAUACCCUUGUAGUC
rnacentral:rRNA from 1 species